rnacentral:tRNA from 1 species
GGUGGUGUAGCUCAGUGGUAGAGCGCUUGCCUAGCACAUGGAAUCACUGGGUUUAAUAGUUUAGUAAAUAAGUUUUAGUAAAUAAUUGUUUAGUAAAUAAAGGUAUUUUAUUUAUUAUUUAUUGUCCAUCUACAACUUCAAUAAAUAAAUAGAUAGCUAAAUAAAUAAAUAGAAUUAUCCCCUCUCUUGCAAUUGGCUAGUCCCUUCUUACUCUCUCUAUCA